GUAGGUGGCAAGCGUUGUCCGGAAUUAUUGGGCGUAAAGCGCGCGCAGGCGGUUCUUUAAGUCUGAUGUGAAAGCCCACGGCUCAACCGUGGAGGGUCAUUGGAAACUGGAGAACUUGAGUACAGAAGAGGAAAGCGGAAUUCCACGUGUAGCGGUGAAAUGCGUAGAGAUGUGGAGGAACACCAGUGGCGAAGGCGGCUUUCUGGUCUGUAACUGACGCUGAGGCGCGAAAGCGUGGGGAGCAAACAGGAUUAGAUACCCUGGUAGUCCACGCCGUAAACGAUGAGUGCUAAGUGUUAGGGGGGUUUCCGCCCCCCUUAGUGCUGCAGCUAACGCAUUUAGCACUCCGCCCUGGGAGUACGGCCGCAAGGCUG
rnacentral:rRNA from 1 species